rnacentral:rRNA from 1 species
AGUGAACGCUGGCGGUAGGCCUAACACAUGCAAGUCGAACGGCAGCACAGUAAGAGCUUGCUCUUACGGGUAGCGAGUGGCGGACGGGUGAGGAAUACAUCGGAAUCUACUUUUUCGUGGGGGAUAACGUAGGGAAACUUACGCUAAUACCGCAUACGACCUACGGGUGAAAGCAGGGGAUCUUCGGACCUUGCGCGAUUGAAUGAGCCGAUGUCGGAUUAGCUAGUUGGCGGGGUAAAGGCCCACCAAGGCGACGAUCCGUAGCUGGUCUGAGAGGAUGAUCAGCCACCCUGGAACUGAGACACGGUCCAGACUCCUACGGGAGGCAGCAGUGGGGAAUAUUGGACAAUGGGCGCAAGCCUGAUCCAGCCAUACCGCGUGGGUGAAGAAGGCCUUCGGGUUGUAAAGCCCUUUUGUUGGGAAAGAAAAGCAGCAGGUUAAUACCCCGCUGUUCUGACGGUACCCAAAGAAUAAGCACCGGCUAACUUCGUG